rnacentral:rRNA from 1 species
CGAGCGGCGGAUGGGUGAGUAACACGUGGGGAACCUGCCCCUAAGUCUGGGAUACCAUUUGGAAACAGGUGCUAAUACCGGAUAAUAAAGCAGAUCGCAUGAUCAGCUUUUGAAAGGCGGCGUAAGCUGUCGCUAAGGGAUGGCCCCGCGGUGCAUUAGCUAGUUGGUAAGGUAACGGCUUACCAAGGCGACGAUGCAUAGCCGAGUUGAGAGACUGAUCGGCCACAUUGGGACUGAGACACGGCCCAAACUCCUACGGGAGGCAGCAGUAGGGAAUCUUCCACAAUGGACGCAAGUCUGAUGGAGCAACGCCGCGUGAGUGAAGAAGGUUUUCGGAUCGUAAAGCUCUGUUGUUGGUGAAGAAGGAUAGAGGUAGUAACUGGCCUUUAUUUGACGGUAAUCAACCAGAAAGUCACGGCUAACUACGUGCCAGCAGCCGCGGUAAUACGUAGGUGGCAAGCGUUGUCCGGAUUUAUUGGGCGUAAAGCGAGCGCAGGCGGAAAAAUAAGUCUAAUGUGAAAGCCCUCGGCUUAACCGAGGAACUGCAUCGGAAACUGUUUUUCUUGAGUGCAGAAGAGGAGAGUGGAACUCCAUGUGUAGCGGUGGAAUGCGUAGAUAUAUGGAAGAACACCAGUGGCGAAGGCGGCUCUCUGGUCUGCAACUGACGCUGAGGCUCGAAAGCAUGGGUAGCGAACAGGAUUAGAUACCCCUGGUAGUCCAUGCCGUAAA